rnacentral:rRNA from 1 species
UGGGGAAUAUUGCGCAAUGGGGGAAACCCUGAUGCAGCGACGCCGCGUGAACGAAGAAGGUAUUCGUAUCGUAAAGUUCUGUCCUAUGGGAAGAUAAUGACAGUACCAUAGAAGAAAGCUCCGGCUAAAUACGUGCCAGCAGCCGCGGUAAUACGUAUGGAGCGAGCGUUGUCCGGAAUUAUUGGGCGUAAAGGGUACGCAGGCGGUUUAAUAAGUCGAAUGUUAAAGAUCGGGGCUCAACCCCGUAAAGCAUUGGAAACUGAUAAACUUGAGUAGUGGAGAGGAAAGUGGAAUUCCUAGUGUAGUGGUGAAAUACGUAGAUAUUAGGAGGAAUACCAGUAGCGAAGGCGACGUUCUGGACACAAACUGACGCUGAGGUACGAAAGCGUGGGGAGCAAACAGG